rnacentral:rRNA from 1 species
UCCCUACGGGGGGCAGCAGUGAGGAAUAUUGGUCAAUGGGCGGAAGCCUGAACCAGCCAAGUCGCGUGAGGGAAUAAGGCCCUACGGGUCGUAAACCUCUUUUGCCGGGGAGCAAGGGCGGGGACGUGUCCCGGCCCGGAGAGUACCCGGAGAAAAAGCAUCGGCUAACUCCGUGCCAGCAGCCGCGGUAAUACGGAGGAUGCGAGCGUUAUCCGGAUUUAUUGGGUUUAAAGGGUGCGCAGGCGGCGAGUUAGGUCAGCGGUAAAAUUUCGGGGCUCAACCCCGACAAGCCGUUGAAACUGGCU